AAGGUCGCAAAAUUGAACGCAGGACAGCCAGCGUAAACGUAAACAAACUCUACCGUCAUGGCAGCAAACAAAACGAUGCGCCGCAUAUUGCCUGCAUCACUUGGCUGCCCUUGACAAUACAGACAUCUGUGGUGUGGGUCAAGGUCCCCUGCGGAUUUUCAUUCGGAACAAUUUGAGCGGAAGUCGAAGCUGGCAGAUUACCUUUUUCAAGUGUAAAUACUAGAUUUUUAAUAAAAUGUAAUAGAUCAAC